GGUUGUGCAGAAAAAGAAGUCAGUGCUGCAAGGAGAUGCUCAUGAGAAAUCACUGAGAAAGUAUGGGAGCUUUGCAAUAAGAUUACAACAAAUUUCCAGUCAAGGAAAUGUUUCAACCUCUUCUUGGGAAAGAAGCAGCUCCUAGAGCUCCUUGGUGGGUACUUUGGCAGAAGGGAAGGUUGCAGUUACACAACACAAAGUGGGAUCUCAGUUUCCAGGCUAUUUUAUGAGUCCCACAGCACAGAAUGGCAGGGAUGAUGACUCAGUGAAAUUUCAAGGAGAGCAGGGAGUUGUCCACUGCUGUCAAGAAGAUGGCAAUCAAGGGCAAGAUGUAAACCACGAAUUAAGUAUUCAAGAGUAACAGAUCUGAGAAAAGUGGAAACUGAGAAAGUCCUGCUGCUAGAAGAGAAAAAAGCACGGAGAGAGAUUCCAGGCUUUGGAAAUACAGUUGCCAUUGUUCACCUCUCCUCAUGUAACCCUGAUCAGUGGAACUCCAUUACUCAUCUGUGCGCUGCCCUCGGGAUUUGUUCCACCACGUUCCGCUGGACUUCUCGGGGGCUAAUGGACCAUUCACACUGACUUACCACACCAGAUACCAGGCCGAAGCAGAAAUAUUUUUUUAUAUUUUUUUAUGCUUGUCAGUCUUUUUGCUGGAAAAUCUGAGUUUGGAGCUUGUGAAGUAACCUUCAGUGUUGUUGUAAAGUAUAAAAAUUCCCAUUACUCUGUCUCUCACAGCACUGAGACACUCACUGCCAUGUCUGUCCUGAAGGAUCAUACUCUGUUCAUGAUUCCUUUUAGCUCUGACCUUGAGGGGAUCUUAUGAAUCACUUUAAGUUUCAUGAAUUAAUCUUAAAAUUAUGAAACAAUGAUGACUGUGGCAAAGGACAGCACAUUUGAGAGACAAAACAAAAGAAGAAAAAGCUGACAGUGCUGGAAGCAGCAAAGCAACCUCAGAAGGGUUUUAUCAGGAAUCAGAUUGUGAAUUCUAGCAGUGAGGUGCUACUUACCCCUGUGUGAAACAAGAGCUGUCAACUGUCUGAACACAAAAUUCUGAUGAGUUUGUACUCUU